rnacentral:lncRNA from 1 species
CCAAGCCCGGCAUCCCGGAUGUAGAAGUAGCUGGGCGGCCGCUCUUCUCGGUCGUGCACCCCCUACAGAGCCUGGUGCAGGAGAGUCCUGAGGCACAGCCUGAAAAAGCUGGGUGUCAGUGUGGUGGAAAUGAAGGCAACUCUCCGCAUUCCUAUGACUGAGUCUUCAUGUGGAACCCUUCUUCGUGGACAAGUGUGUGUGUGUGGUAGAACUGUUGAAGCUAGAGUUUCAAGUAGUUGUGAGCCACCUGAAGCAUGUGCUGUGACCAACUGCAGCCUUCAGGAAGAACGAGUGCUUUUAACUACUGAGCCUUACCUCCAGACCCUCACGGUAAGUAGUUCAAGUUGUAAAUAUUUAUUUUGGGAUGAUCUCAGUCCGUAUGAACUGACUUUGUUUGCCAUUAAUUAAUAUCUUUUCAUACAAACAAUAAGUAACUGAGGCCAAGUGCUUCAAGAAUUUACCCUCAACAUCUUUAUCUAAAAUGUUUGAUUGUAGGAAAAUUUAAAUUAUGAUGCAUUAUGCUCUUCACAUGCACUUGCGUUUUCGAGAUAAGAUUAUGUUAUGUAGCCCACAGUGCCCAGGUUGAUCUUGAACCCCUGAUUCUCC